AGGCUGGUGGGGGCGGUGUUGCUCGGGGCUGCGAUGCCCCUUAGGUUGCGGGCAACCAGAGGCCUCACUCGUGGGCAGGAAGCAAGGGCGGACCCCGAGAGAUGACUGAUUGUGGGGGUGGGGACCGUCUGCUCCUCCUAAUGGCUGGGGACCGUGCACGUCUGCGCGGGCCGGACCUGCUCUUCUCGGGAACUUGCGCGGGAGGAGGCCCGGAGCUGCGCCGCUUUACCCUCUGCUCCCCGGUGCCUAAAACGCACACGCAUCAAAGUCACAGGACGAGUUAGAGGAAUAUACAAUAGAGUUUUCCAGAGGCUGCUGGAUGAGUCAUAUUGUAACAGAUGCAAUGGGAACAUGGAGCUAUGGGAACUCAACUGCCUUAAGUGAAGCCAGACAUUAAGGAGAUUUGAAAAAAUAUAAUACAAUGCCACUCUUCUCCCUA
ensembl:lncRNA ZNF8-DT ZNF8 divergent transcript